AAGCGCUUGCAACCAGACUUGCGCGCUGUUGAUCAUCCGAGCUUCUGCCCGGUGCACUCAGCAGCGUUCAGGCCAGCAUCGGUUUUGGUGGGCGGAUAAAGGCCUUGGGAAUGUAGCUUCUUUCGGGGAGUGUUAUAGCCCAUUGCAUAAUACCCUGGGGCGGACUGAGGUUCGCGCAUUCGUGCAAGGAUGCUGGCGUAAUGGUCAUCAGCGA
rnacentral:rRNA from 1 species